rnacentral:tRNA from 1 species
GGCUUCGAGGUGAUGAAUCACGUUGAAUUGCAAAUUCAGAAGAGCAGCUUCAACUCUGCCGGGGCCU